rnacentral:rRNA from 1 species
UGGGGAAUAUUGCGCAAUGGGGGAAACCCUGACGCAGCGACGCCGCGUGUGGGAUGAAGGUCUUCGGAUUGUAAACCACUGUCGCGAGGGACGAAGCUCUGACGGUACCUCGAAAGGAAGCACCGGCUAACUCUGUGCCAGCAGCCGCGGUAAUACAGAGGGUGCGAGCGUUGUCCGGAAUCACUGGGCGUAAAGGGCGCGUAGGCGGCCCGGUAAGUAGGGGGUGAAAUCUCAUGGCGUCAACUGUGAGGCUGCCUUCUAGACUGCCAGGCUUGAGCACAGUAGAGGCGAGUGGAAUUCCCGGUGUAGCGGUGGAAUGCGUAGAGAUCGGGAAGAACAUCGGUGGCGAAGGCGGCUCGCUGGGCUGUUGCUGACGCUGAGGCGCGAAAGCGUGGGGAGCAAACAGGAUUAGAUACCCAUGUAGUCCCUGAGCGGGCUGGCAAGGCGCAU